rnacentral:rRNA from 1 species
AACAGGAUUAGAUACCCUGGUAGUCCACGCUGUAAACGAUGUCGACUUGGAGGUUGUGCCCUUGAGGCGUGGCUUCCGGAGCUAACGCGUUAAGUCGACCGCCUGGGGAGUACGGCCGCAAGGUUAAAACUCAAAUGAAUUGACGGGGGCCCGCACAAGCGGUGGAGCAUGUGGUUUAAUUCGAUGCAACGCGAAGAGCCUUACCUACUCUUGACAUCCAGAGAAUUUGCUAGAGAUAGCUUAGUGCCUUCGGGAACUCUGAGGCAGGUGCUGCAUGGCUGUCGUCAGCUCGUGUUGUGAAAUGUUGGGUUAAGUCCCGCAACGAGCGCAACCCUUAUCCUUUGUUGCCAGCACGUAAUGGUGGGAACUCAAAGGAGACUGCCGGUGAUAAACCGGAGGAAGGUGGGGAUGACGUCAAGUCAUCAUGGCCCUUACGAGUAGGGCUACACACGUGCUACAAUGGCAUAUACAAAGAGAUGCGAACACGCGAGAGCAAGCGGACCUCAUAAAGUAUGUCGUAGUCCGGAUUGGAGUCUGCAACUCGACUCCAUGAAGUCGGAAUCGCUAGUAAUCGUAGAUCAGAAUGCUACGGUGAAUACGUUCCCGGGCCUUGUACACACCGCCCGUCACACCAUGGGAGUGGGUUGCAAAAGAAGUAGGUAGCUUAACCUUCGGGAGGGCGCUUACCACUUUGUGAUUCAUGACCGGGGUGAAGUCGUAACAAGGUAACC